GGCCCAUUAGCUCAGUCGGUUAGAGCGCCGUGCUAAUAACGCGGAGGUCCUGGGUUCGAUCCCCAUAUGGGCCA